rnacentral:rRNA from 1 species
UACGGAGGGUGCAAACGUUGCUCGGAAUCAUUGGGCGUAAAGCGCACGUAGGUGGCUUGUUAAGUCGGGUGUGAAAUCCCUGGGCUCAACCCAGGAAGUGCACUCGAAACUGGCGAGCUUGAGUACUGAAGAGGGUCGCGGAAUUCCCGGUGUAGAGGUGAAAUUCGUAGAUAUCGGGAGGAACACCAGUGGCGAAGGCGGCGACCUGGGCAGAUACUGACGCUGAGGAGCGAAAGCAUGGGGAGCGAACAGG